ACGGCCUAAAGCGUGAUUAAAUAAUAUUAAAAUAAAUAGAAAUAAAAAUUAACUCAACUGUCGUACGUAUUUGUUAAACGGUAAACCGCAAACGAAAGAUAUUCUAAUAAACAAACUACUUGAACCCACGAAAGCUAAGAAACAAACUAGGAUUAGAUACCCUACUAUGCUCAGCCUUAAACUUUGGAACCCACCCGCCUGAGUACUACGAGCCACAGCUUAAAACUCAAAGGACUUGGCGGUGCUCUACACCCCCCUAGAGGAGCCUGUUCUAUAAUUGAUAUCCCCCGCUAAACCUCACCACUUAUUGCCAAUACCGCUUAUAUACCGCCGUCGUCAGCUCACCAUUUAAAUGAAUAAUAGUAGGCAUAAUGAUAAACAUAAAAACGUCAGGUCAAGGUGUAGCGAAUUAAGUGGGAAGAAAUGGGCUACAUUUUCUAAACUAGAAAAUACGAAAAAUUUUAUGAAAAACUAUUUAAAGGUGGAUUUAGAAGUAAAAAGAAAAUAGAGUGUUCUUUUUAAAUUGGCCAUAGAGCGCGCACACACCGCCCGUCACCCUCCUCAGAAAAACAAUUAAUUAUAUAAUAAAAGAAAAUAAAAGAAGAGGUAAGUCGUAACAUGGUAAGUUUACCGGAAGGUGUACUUGGAUUAU
rnacentral:rRNA from 1 species